AGAGAAUAAGCUAUUUUAUUAACAUAUAAUAAUUGUGUGAUUCGAAAUAAAGAAUGGUAUACUAAGAGGAAACUUUGUGAAACUCUAGAAUCAGUUCAAUCUACAUCAACAUAACCCUAUCUGACCAGACCCAUUUCUGUAUAUGAGCUUCCGCAUUUUCCUCUUGACUCGAUUAUACAGCAUUAGGUAGCUGCCCCUUGUUGAGAAUGGACAGCAUUCCCAGUAUAUAACUUCCACCAUACAGUGAAAGACUAAACCAGAUGAUAGUCAUAGCAAGCCCUACAGUACAAAUAUCAAAACUUGUGUUCCAUUUUAUUAUUAUUUGAACAGCAUUCUGGUUCCAUUUGUUUAUUAACCAGACACAGAAAUUAUCAGAGUAAGACAAAGGGGUCUAGAACCAGGAGGAAAAAUAAAUUGCUAAGCCCAAGAUUCUUCAAAUUAGUCAACCUGAACUACAUUAGAGGCAUUCUGUCCCAUAUGUAUACCCCAAUGGAUCUUGUGGGUCCCUCAUGGACACAAUGUGAGCCCAACACAGGAUAUAGAUGGAGCAUGUUUUUAUUUUAUUUUUGGUUUCAGGCCUUGAAAUAAAUUUUAAUAAUCUAAACUACCCUGACUUUUAAGGGUUGAUUAGACUAAUGUUUACAGUAGGGGUGUUUUAGUGUUAUCCUUUUAUUAGGGUUUUAAUCAUUUCUAGGUGGGUUUCUUUGUAAAAUGUUCCAGUGGACUAAGGAGUGGGCUCCUUGAUUGUGUAUGGGGACAGGUCAUGAGUUCUGGGAACUCUGCUGUUGGGGUGUUUGUUUCGGUUUUUCUUUUCUUUCAUUUCCUUUGUGUAGUUUGUUUGCUUUUCUGUUUUAUAAUAUACUCUCAUCCUAAAAAAUAAAAUAAAAAUUUAAAAAAAAAUCAUUUCUAGGUUAUAAAUAAAUGACAUGUGACUUUUUUAGAGCUUGAACACUGCAAAAGUUGACAAGUUUAUUUUUCUUUUCAUGAAUUGCAAUGGUGGCAUAUGCUGUGAUUUUUUGCAUGUGUUGCUCAUUGAAUUUGCUAUGUAGAUCUUAGUUUCGCAAUUAGUUUCAAUUUGUUUUGAUCUUAGUUUGCCGACCCCAAUUAAUUGGGUAAGGCUUACAUGAUGAUUAUGGUUGGAUUAACUCAUUAUCCCACUCUUUUUAGUUAUUCAUUUGUACCAUUCUUUUAUUUAUUUAUUAUUUUUUGCUUGCUUUAAUAAAUUUGUCUCACCUUUAAAAAACACUUCUUAUUCUAUUUUUAAAAAACCUUUUGAAGUAUUAUCCAUAAAAAAAGGGGUUAUCCAAAAAAGAAAGUGCAUUGGGUUUAUUUGCUGACAAAUGGGUUUUAGACCAAAACCAUUUCUAAGCAAAUGAGUUUUGCUAGUGCUGACAUCCAAUCCCAACGCAUUCAAAGUCAUUCUCGACAUUCAGAAAAGCUUUUAGAAUUUUUGUUUCAUGUAGAAGUUGGAAAGUAGGAUGGUUAUCAAGAUGGUUGGUUUCCUUUAGUUUAACCGAGAAAGAGCCUGUUUUAAUGCAUGUUGGUGUGUGGUUUUGGGGCUAUCAUUUAGAUAUUUGCGAGGCUCUACCAAUGCAUCGAUGAUGUUUAAUCAUCAUUGCAUACAUCUGAUAUCUUCUUGGCCUAAGUAAAAGAAGUUGAAAAUCAAAUUAAAUUUGCUAGCUGAAAGUCAUCAACAAAUAAGAGGCCUCAUUGAAAGGUAGAAUCAUUAUCAUGAACAUAGCCUUAUCUCUGCUAUUUGAGGUCAACUUUAUGGAUCCUGUUUCGUCAAAAAUUCUGGAGGCCCUAUUUUUAUCAAGUGAAAGCCUUGUUGUUAAAGAAAGAGAAUAAACAUGAUCUAUAUCAAGAGAAGAGCCGAGGCACCUUUACUAGCUACCAGAUGCACAGGGAGCUACAUUGCUUACACACUCUCCUUGGAGACACACUGGCACUAAGCAACAGCCCUCGUCAUGCUUGGAGAUAUGUCAACAGAGGUUCUCCUUGAGCUUGGAGACAUGCCAGCACAGAACAGUACCCACAAUGCUCAAGCCAAUCAAUGUGAGGGCCAACGUAUGCGCAAGCCACUUGGGAUUUGGAGAUCUCAAACCACCAGCCUAUGGACAGAGAACAAAUUGAAUUAGACAAUCAACGGGAUGUAACUAAUCUGAUCUAAUACUCAAAUUUAGAGAGCGGUGUUCCCUUGCUGCAGUUGUCUCCAGUUUUCUUGGCUCUCAUUUAAUCCAAUUGGGCGUCUGGGAAGAGUUCCCUUGCCACAGUUGUAGCCGGUUUUCUUGCUUGUCAUUUAAUCCAAUUGGGAGUUUGGGAUCUCUUAUAGGCUGCUCCAAACGACCUCAUUUUUAAUUCUCUCCUUAUCUCUGUACAUCUAUCUCAACAUGUUUAUCUCUGCAACAUUCAUCCACUGUUCAUGUUGCCUCUUCAUUCCCAACAUUCUGUCCCUUGGAGCCUAAUUGAGUUACUGUCCUUGAUUUUCAUCAACACGUGUCUAUCACAGUACUCUCAAUAGUCACAUCUCCACUAAAUCUACAUCGCUUCAAUUCAAUUGGAAACAUCCUUCUUGUGGUCUCCGUCGUUUUUAAUGGCAGAGCCAAGCUAAACAGAAUCGAUCACUUUCAUGAAUCUCCUGGCCAUCUGUUUUAACUAAAACCUCACAUCUAAUGACAAGAUAGUCUACAACAACAGCACCGUGGAUGUUUGAAGAGGCACGGUAUCUCCUUUAAGUUGAUGAAAAUGGGGCAGUUGGUGUGGAAGUCUAGGUGAGGUGAAAGAAGUGAUUGUUAGCAGCCAGUCUGUUUGUCCCUAACAUACCAAUGAGUAUCUCUACAAAAUAUGCUGGGGUUCUUCGGAAACUAAUGCAUCAUAUCAGAUAUUUAUACACCCAGGGAUUGAUUAUCAGGCAGAGCUGGGGAUUUUGCAUAUGUUAUCUUUCAAUACAUUUUGGUUGAUAUGAUAUUUGCUGUUAGUUGUGUGAAGAGGUUAUUGUUGGGGUAUUUGAAAACCCGCACUUAUGUUACGCCACAUGAUAUCAUUUGAAAACUUGAUCUUACUUUAUGGAGUGACAUGUCUUCUUGAGAAACUGUUUCUGGAUCUCAUCUUCUACCACACUAAUAGGCUUGAAUGGUAGUGGGGUUACCAUGCAUGUCGAUGGUUGUUGCUGUGUUGCAGACUGAGCUGGUGCUGUUCUGACCAUGGUCCUAUUUGAAAGAGACACUCAAGCAUUGCAGGAAAUAAAGACGACCCAUUUAAUGUAUCAGGACUCCAUCCCAGUCAAAGUGUUCUGCCCCAAUCUCAAGUUUCAACCAAACAUCGGACCCACUGUCACCCAGGGGCCAUGGGUGGCCAGUGGACUCCAGCAUGACUUGCACACAUAUGGAUGAUUGACGACCAGGACUUGGGAUUCUUUGCCAAUUUCCUCGGCAUCUGUAUAUUCGUUCUGGUAAUAGCUUACCACUAUGUGAUGGCAGAUCCAAAAUACGAAGGAAACUGAGAAUGUUUGGAAUUUGUGUUUUUGUUAGCCAAAUUCAAACUCGUUAGAGACCCGAAUGAAUGUGGGCAUAAUGUCAGCUUCUUACUAAAAUUGUUACAAUGGAAAUAGUUUUGAUUUUACCCUGAGCUUAGAACGCAAGAAAUUGCAAGUAGGGGUCUUUUAUCUGCAAUUCUUGUGCAUUGCUAUUAUGUAGUAGUUUCCUGCA